GCCUGGGUGGCUCAGUCGGUUGAGCGUCCGACUUCGGCUCAGGUCGUGAUCUCGCGGUCCGUGGGUUCGAGCCCCGCAUUGGGCU
rnacentral:tRNA from 1 species